GUGGGGAAUAUUGGACAAUGGGGGGAACCCUGAUCCAGCCAUGCCGCGUGUGUGAAGAAGGCCUUUUGGUUGUAAAGCACUUUAAGCGAGGAGGAGGCUACCGAGAUUAAUACUCUUGGAUAGUGGACGUUACUCGCAGAAUAAGCACCGGCUAACUCUGUGCCAGCAGCCGCGGUAAUACAGAGGGUGCAAGCGUUAAUCGGAUUUACUGGGCGUAAAGCGCGCGUAGGUGGCCAAUUAAGUCAAAUGUGAAAUCCCCGAGCUUAACUUGGGAAUUGCAUUCGAUACUGGUUGGCUAGAGUAUGGGAGAGGAUGGUAGAAUUCCAGGUGUAGCGGUGAAAUGCGUAGAGAUCUGGAGGAAUACCGAUGGCGAAGGCAGCCAUCUGGCCUAAUACUGACACUGAGGUGCGAAAGCAUGGGGAGCAAACAGGAUUAGAAACCCUUGUAGCC
rnacentral:rRNA from 1 species